CAAGGAAUAGCUCAGUGGUAGAGUGCAUGCUUAGCAUGCGUGAGGUCCUGGGUUCAAUCUCCUGUACCUCCG
rnacentral:tRNA from 1 species